rnacentral:misc_RNA from 1 species
GAUGAAGAACGUAGCGAAAUGCGAUAAGUAAUGUGAAUUGCAGAAUUCAGUGAAUCAUCGAAUCUUUGAACGCACAUUGCGCCCGCCAGUAUUCUGGCGGGCAUGCCUGUCUGAGCGUCAUUUCAACCCUCAUGCCCCUAGGGCGUGGUGUUGGGGAUCGGCCAAAGCCCGCGAUGGACGGCCGGCCCCUAAAUCUAGUGGCGGACCCGUCGUGGCCUCCUCUGCGAAGUAGUGAUAUUCCGCAUCGGAGAGCGAUGAGCCCCUGCCGUUAAACCCCCAACUUUCCAAGGUUGACCUCAGAUCAGGUAGGAAUACCCGCUGAACUUAAGCAUAUCAAUAAGCGGAGGA